rnacentral:rRNA from 1 species
AUUGAACGCUGGCGGCAGGCCUAACACAUGCAAGUCGAGCGGUAGCACAGGAGAGCUUGCUCUCUGGGUGACGAGCGGCGGACGGGUGAGUAAUGUCUGGGAAACUGCCUGAUGGAGGGGGAUAACUACUGGAAACGGUAGCUAAUACCGCAUAACGUCUUCGGACCAAAGUGGGGGACCUUCGGGCCUCACGCCAUCAGAUGUGCCCAGAUGGGAUUAGCUAGUAGGUGGGGUAAUGGCUCACCUAGGCGACGAUCCCUAGCUGGUCUGAGAGGAUGACCAGCCACACUGGAACUGAGACACGGUCCAGACUCCUACGGGAGGCAGCAGUGGGGAAUAUUGCACAAUGGGCGCAAGCCUGAUGCAGCCAUGCCGCGUGUGUGAAGAAGGCCUUCGGGUUGUAAAGCACUUUCAGCGAGGAGGAAGGGUAGUGUGUUAAUAGCACAUUGCAUUGACGUUACUCGCAGAAGAAGCACCGGCUAACUCCGUGCCAGCAGCCGCGGUAAUACGGAGGGUGCAAGCGUUAAUCGGAAUUACUGGGCGUAAAGCGCACGCAGGCGGUUUGUUAAGUCAGAUGUGAAAUCCCCGCGCUUAACGUGGGAACUGCAUUUGAAACUGGCAAGCUAGAGUCUUGUAGAGGGGGGUAGAAUUCCAGGUGUAGCGGUGAAAUGCGUAGAGAUCUGGAGGAAUACCGGUGGCGAAGGCGGCCCCCUGGACAAAGACUGACGCUCAGUGCGAAAGCGUGGGGAGCAAACAGG